UGAAAUACUGGCCUCACUUCGAAUACCUAUCUUGCAAACUGUAACUUUUCCAUACAGGUUAAAGACAAAAACAUCCCUUUUGGAUUCAGCUAUGAAGGGCAAUCUAAUAGAAUAAACGCAACCCAAGCUAAA